rnacentral:rRNA from 1 species
GACGAACGCUGGCGGCGUGCCUAAUACAUGCAAGUAGAACGCUGAAGCGAGGAGCUUGCUCUUCUUGGAUGAGUUGCGAACGGGUGAGUAACGCGUAGGUAACCUGCCUUGUAGCGGGGGAUAACUAUUGGAAACGAUAGCUAAUACCGCAUAACAAUGGAUGACACAUGUCAUUUAUUUGAAAGGGGCAAUUGCUCCACUACAAGAUGGACCUGCGUUGUAUUAGCUAGUAGGUGAGGUAAUGGCUCACCUAGGCGACGAUACAUAGCCGACCUGAGAGGGUGAUCGGCCACACUGGGACUGAGACACGGCCCAGACUCCUACGGGGGGCAGCAGUAGGGAAUCUUCGGCAAUGGGGGCAACCCUGACCGAGCAACGCCGCGUGAGUGAAGAAGGUUUUCGGAUCGUAAAGCUCUGUUGUAAGUCAAGAACGGGUGUGAGAGUGGAAAGUUCACACUGUGACGGUAGCUUACCAGAAAGGGACGGCUAACUACGUG